rnacentral:rRNA from 1 species
CCCUUAGAUGUUCUGGGCUGCACGCGCGCUACACUGAUGCGCUCAACGAGUUUACGACCUUGCCCGAUAGGGUUGGGUAAUCUUUUUAAAAUGCAUCGUGAUGGGGAUAGAUUAUUGCAAUUAUUAAUCUUCAACGAGGAAUUCCUAGUAAGCGCGAGUCAUCAGCUCGUGCUGAUUACGUCCCUGCCCUUUGUACACACCGCCCGUCGCUCCUACCGAUUGAGUGCUCAGGUGAAUAAUUCGGACUGCAGCAAUGUUUGGAUCCCGAACGUUGCAGCGGAAAGUUUAGUGAACCUUAUCACUUAGAGGAAGGAGAAGUCGUAACA